rnacentral:misc_RNA from 1 species
AACCUAGCACACCUGCGGUGUGUACCUGCGGAGGGAUCAUUACCUAGAGUUGUAGGCUUUGCCUGCUAUCUCUUACCCAUGUCUUUUGAGUACCUUACGUUUCCUCGGUGGGCUCGCCCACCGAUUGGACAAAUUUAAACCCUUUGCAGUUGAAAUCAGCGUCUGAAAAAACUUAUUAGUUACAACUUUCAACAAUGGAUCU